rnacentral:lncRNA from 1 species
CUCUCUCUCACUCUUUCCCUUUCUCUCUCUAGGAAAGAAAAGAAAAGAAAGAGAAGAAGGAGAAGAAAGAAAAGAAGGAAAAGAGGAAGAAGUUGAAGGAGAAGUUCAAGAAGAAGAAGAAGAAGGUCUUCUUCUCUCCCUCCUUCAAGCUAAGGCAAGCUUGGAGCUUGGCUUAGAGGNNNNNNNNNNNNNNNNNNNNNNNNNNNNNNNNNNNNNNNNNNNNNNNNNNNNNNNNNNNNNNNNNNNNNNNNNNNNNNNNNNNNNNNNNNNNNNNNNNNNCGAUCAGCUCGUUUCGAGCUAGGCAGUUGAUCAGCCGAGGAUGUGUAGCUUACUUGGCUAGUGUUGUGUUGAGGGGCGAGAAUGACACCCCUAGGAUUGAGGAUAUUCCGGUGGUACGGGAGUUUCAGGACGUGUGUCCAGCUGAGCUUUCGAGUAUGCCACUCGAUAGGGAGAUCAAGUUUGUGGUAGAUCUCGUCCCUGGGACUACUCCAAUCUCGAAGGCACCAUAUAGGAUGGCACCAGCAGAGCUGAAGGAGCUGAGGGCACAGCUACAGGAUCUGUUGGACAAGGGCUUCAUUCGACCGAGCGUCUCGCCGUGGGGAGCACCAGUUCUAUUCGUUAAGAAAAAAGACGGAUCACUUCGCCUAUGUGUGGACUAUCGUGAACUCAAUAAAGUCACGAUCAAGAAUAAGUAUCCGUUGCCGAGGAUCGACGAUUUGUUUGAUCAGCUUCAAGGAUCGUGUGUGUAUCCCAAGAUAGACUUGCAGUCGGGGUACCACCAGUUAAAGAUCAAACCCGAGGAUGUAUCGAAGACGGCUUUUAGAACACGGUAUGGACACUAUGAGUUCACAGUUAUGCCAUUUGGGCUUACUAAUGCCCUGGCAGCUUUUAUGGAUCUGAUGAACCGUGUUUUUAAGCCUUAUCUAGACAGGUUCGUCGUUGUAACACACUGGACCUUUGCAAAUUGCGAGGUUUGAGUGUUUGAUCGAUGUGUCGAGCUUUUCUAGAUUUUCUGGUGGGUCGUUGACUGUGUUCCGACCUAUGGCACGUAUCCCGAGAAUUGUGGUUUAAAGCUGUGUAUCAAAAUCCAAAAAAAUUGAAAGUUGGUCAGCUCUCGGGUAGCCCUCAGCAGGGCUUGUACCGGUACAAGGCUGUGGCUGUACCGGUACAAGGUUGUGGCUGUACCGAUACAAGGUUGAUGGUUGUACCGGUACAGCCAUCGGCUUGUACCGGUACAGGGCCGCAAAACCCCGCAACCCGAGCCUCGGGUUUGGCUUUUCGUGGGUCUUGUACCGGUACAAAGACCCGUGUACCGGUACAAGGCGGCAGAUUUCGUGCAAUUUGAACUGCAGGGGGUUUUUCGCGAUUGUGGACUUCUUAUAACAACACCCACGCCCCUUAGGGCUUUUUUUGUGCUGGAACCAGAGGAGGAGAAGGUGAGAGGAGCUCCAUCUUGCUCCAAUUGGAUUUGAUCUCCGUUUUAGUUGGAUUUUCGGUGGAUUAAUCCCUUUCCUUUUCUCUUUUAUGCUUUUCCACCAUUAAUGGAGCUAGAAGCUUGGAUUUGAGGCUUGGUGGAGGAGAGAUCUUUGGACUUUGAUGGUUUAGAGCUUGGAUUGGAGCAUUUUAGAGGUAAAUGACUUGUUCUUUCCUCUAAAUUCCUAGCUUUGAUGAUAUUUUUGGAAUUAAACCCUAGAAUGAGAUUUUAGGGCUUAUUUUUGGGCAUUUUGAAUCUAGGGCUUUUGAGGCUAGAUUGUUGGGAUUAGAAUCUUCCUUUGGCUUGGAUUGGAAGGAUCCUAACUCCCUUUUGAAGCUUUAAAGGAGAUUUUUGCACUAGAGGUGAGUUUUCCUCACCUAUGCUUGAUUAGCUUAAUGAUUGAGCUAAGUAUUGUUCGUUUGGUUCAUGUGACACUUGUUUUUAUACCUCUAGGGUACUAGGAGGCUAGAGGACGCCUUCGUUGGAGCAAACGAAGAGUUUCAUCGUCAUCGGUGGGUUUCGCUUCAUGAAAACGAGGCGAAAUGGCCCCUAAGCUUUCUAAACCUGUCAUCGGUGGGUUUGGCUUCAUGAAAACGGGGCGAAAUGGCCCCUAAGCUUUCUAAACCUUCCGUUUACUAUUUUUUUUUUUAAAUGCAAAUCUAUGCUAAAGGGAAUUUAUGUGAAUUUUAGAACCCCUAGAAUGCAGGUGUUAUGUAUAAGAAAAUUUUCACUCUAUAUAGUAGAGCAUUGUGGGUGUUGAUGCAUGCAUUUGGGUAGUGCUCAUGCUAGUCGUUUAGAAUCAUGUUCUAUGUGUUUAGAAUGACUUAAUUAAGCAUUGAUGAACCUUUGGGUUAAGCUUGGACUUAAUAAACGAAAGUGUCAUAAAAGGGCACUUAGACUAGCACAUUAUGAGACUAUUGUAUUGAGACAUAGAGAUAGGCCAUGGGCAUCUAUUAUUUCCAUAUUUUAGACAGGAUGACAUAGAGAUAGGCCUAUGAGAGAGUUGUGACAUAUUCCAUGUUGUAGACAUGAGGACUUGGUACUUAUGACAUACUGAUAGCAUGCUUGCCAUUGUGCUCAUUCGCACAUGCUUGUGAGGGUCGCUCCCUACAAGCCGGCACUCCGGAGUUGGCCAUUGCGAUACGUUCGCCGUGCGGGAUUGGGCGCCGAAGUGGAUUGCCGUGGGAAAGGCUCAUUCCUAGGGUCGGGAUGUUGACUACCACGGGGCCAUUAGGCAGGGUAAAGCCAGACAGCCUUCGGGUGGGUCUUAUGCCAGACAGCCUUCGGGUGGGUCUUAUCAGAGCUGAACUUUAAACAGAUAAAGUGACAAGUGAACAUUGACUAGAAUAGUAAACAAUGACAUCUUUUCUAUUACAUUGUGGACUUUGGGUAGUUGCAUAUUCAUGCAUUACAUGUUGGGUAUUCAUGUGUAUAUAUCUAGUAGUUGCUUUCUUACUUAUGCAAAUCAUGCUAAGUAGAGAUAUCAUGAUUAUUGGGUACUCGUUUAUUUAUUUAUUUACAGUGCAUUUAUCGCUUUUGUUAUAGUUGUACACUGACCCUCUUUUAUAGUCUCGGGCCUAGUGGUGCAUUUCACUGAAGUCAGUAAUUGCCCACUGGGAACUAUUAUUUAAUAGUUCUCACGCCCCUGUUUCUAUGUUUUCCUUUCAGAGCCUUCGGCACCGGCGGAGGCACGGGAUCGCGGCAAGGGUGUCGCUUAGCUAGCUCGUGAAGAGUUCUUUUGCGCUAGGUGGUUACUCCCCCUUUUUGUAUUUUGAGAGAGGGAGAGGUCUUGUGCCAUGUAUAGAGAGACCACCUUGUACUUCACUUAGCACUCGUUAUGGGGCUCCUAUUGUAUUUACUUUAUGCCUUUAUUAGUGGAUUAUCAGCUUUAUGUUCUCUUUUUUGUUUUAGAACUAGUUGUAAAAUGCUCUGAUAUCACUAGAUCUCUUUGUAUUACUGUUUUAAUUAUUGGAAAUUUUUGUAGACGCCUUAUAUGUUUUAGACGUAUGGCGGGUCUGGACACGUGCCGGGUAGGCUUCCGCUGAGCCCCAGGGCGUGACAGUCAUGGUAUUCAUCGACGACAUUUUGGUUUAUUCCCGAAGCGAUGCGGAUCACGAGGAGCAUUUGAGGCUAAUACUUCAAUUACUUCGGGAAAAGGAGCUUUAUGCCAAGCUGAAAAAGUGUGAAUUUUGGCUUCGAGAGGUAGCCUUCCUUGGACAUUUGAUAUCGGGAUCGGGUAUAGCCGUGGAUCCUAAGAAGAUUGAGGCUAUCAAGGAUUGGCCGAGACCGACAAGCGUUACGGAGAUUCGGAAUUUCCUUGGAUUGGCCGGUUACUACCGGAGAUUUGUCGAGGGGUUCGCUAAGCUAUCUACUCCCCUCACGAGGCUCACGCAUAAAGGUGCCAAGUUCAUCUGGAAUGAUGCGUGUGAGAGAAGCUUCCAAGAGCUGAAGCAACGACUGACAACCGCCUCGAUCCUGACCCUACCUGUUGCUGGAGCAGGGUAUGUGGUUUAUAGUGAUGCUUCACAUAAUAGAUUGGGCUGUGUUUUGAUGCAGGACGACAAAGUGAUCGCGUAUGCUUCUCGCCAACUAAAGGAAUAUGAAAAGAAUUAUCCUACGCACGAUUUGGAGUUGGCGGCCGUAGUCUUCGCAUUGAAGUUAUGGCGCCACUACUUAUAUGGCGAGCGGUGCGAAGUAUACAUGGAUCACAAGAGCUUGAAGUAUUUGUUCACUCAGAGGGAGUUGAACUUGAGACAGUGUAGAUGGUUGGAGCUGCUCAAGGAUUAUGAUUUGACUAUUUUUUACAACCCGAGUAAGGCUAACGUGGUGGCGGAUGCGCUAAGUAGGAAAUCAACAGAAAACUUAGCGAUGCAUGUUGUUACUCAACCGCAGUUGAUCAAGCAGAUGAAGCGGUUGGAGUUGGAGGUAGUGAUUCCUGACACACCUUUGAGAUUGAUGACCUUGGUAGUGCAACCUAUACUCUUGGAUAGAAUUAAAGAGAAGCAAGCUUCCGAUGUGGAGUUGCAAAGGAUUAAAGGUAAUAUGGUUGAUGGUUGCACCGCCGACUACCUUGUGGAUGACCAAGGAUUGAUGCGUUUUCGUGGGCGGAUUUGUGUACCGGCGGAUUCGGAAAUUAAAGAGGAUAUUUUUCAAGAAGCACACCGAGCGCCCUAUGCUAUACAUCCGGGAGGCACCAAGAUGUACAAGGACUUGAAGUUGCUUUAUUGGUGGCCCGAGAUGAAAAAGGACGUUGGCGAGUUUAUAGCUCGUUGUCUAACUUGCCAACAAGUAAAGGCUGAGCAUCGAUUACCCGCGGGAAAACUUCAGAGUUUGCCUAUUUCCUAUGGAAAUGGGAGAAGAUCACCAUGGAUUUUGUGACUGGACUGCCCCGCUCUCAAGUCGGGCAUGAUGCUAUAUGGGUGAUCGUGGAUAGGUUGACGAAGUCGGCGCACUUCAUACCUAUUCAUACUACUUGGACCGGAGAGAAGCUCGCACAGGUGUACCUUGAUGAGAUUGUGCGACUUCACGGAGUACCUACAUCGAUAGUAUUGGAUCGAAACACUCAGUUUGUAUCUCACUUUUGGAGGAGUCUACAGGACGCCAUGGGCACCCGACUAGACUUCAGCACUGCUUUCCACCCUCAGAGUGAUGGGCAGUCGCAGCACACCAUUCAGAUUUUAGAGGAUAUGCUCCGAGCUUGUGUGAUAGACUUCCAAGGUGGAUGGUCGUAGGAUUUACCGAUGGCGGAGUUUGCUUAUAACAACAGUUUUCAAGCAAGUAUUAAGAUGGCGCCAUUUGAAGCACUUUAUGGACGGAAGUGUAGAUCACCACUUCAUUGGAGUGAAGUCGACGAGAGAUUGGCAUUAGGCCCUGACGUGCUCCAGGAAGCUGAGGACAAGGUUCGAAUUGCUCGGGAGCGACUUUUGACGGCACAGAGUAGACAGAGGAGCUACGCCGAUCGACGACGGCGAGACUUGGAGUUCCAAGUUGGAGACCAUGUUUUCUUGAAGGUCUCGCCGACUAGAGGGAUCAAGAGAUUUGGGAUUCGGGGUAAGUUGAGCCCCCAUUUCAUCGGACCGUAUGAGAUUUUGGAACGUGUAGGUUUGGUAGCGUAUCGACUUGCUCUACCACCGAACCUAUCGGGCGUGCACAACGUCUUUCAUGUAUCGGUCCUUCGGAAGUAUGUCUUCGACCCGACUCAUGUGUUGGAUGCUAUACCUGUGGAGUUGCGGGACAAUUUGAGCUUCGAGGAGCAACCAGUGAGAAUUUUGGCUCGCGAGGUGCGGAAACUCCGGAAUUGGGAUAUUCCAUAUGUGAAGGUUCUUUGGAGCAACCACAGAGAGCGGGAGGCCACGUGGGAGCUAGAGAGCGCGCUGCGGGAACGCUAUCCCCAUCUUUUUCAGAUGGAGCUUUGAGGUAUGUGUUGCUUUUGAGUUUCGCGGACGAAACUCCUUAUUAGGAAGGGUGAAUGUAGCACACUGGACCUUUGCAAAUUGCGAAGUUCGAGUGUUUGAUAUGUAUUCCGAACUUUUCCACACUUGGUGGAAGGUCGUAGAUGGUAUUCCGAUCUAAAAGUUCGAUUUUUGGAAUUUGGCUAAGUCCUGGAGUUUUCACUCUCGGGGACCAGUCCCUGGCUAGGAGAGACCGGUUCCAUCUGAACAGUGUCGUGGCCAGCUUGAGGCAACCUGUCCCUGGCUGGGAGAGACCGGUUCCCGAACGCGUGUUUUGCGGGAAGGGUCCGAGAGACCGGUCCCCGGCGGGGAGAGACCGGUUCCCGAACGUUGGUUUUGCGGGGCAGGCUGAGAGACCGGUCCAAGGUGUCGGGGAGAUCGGUCCAUCAGCACGAAAGUUGCCCAGACCGGACAGUGCACAAGUUGCAUUUUAGAGGGACCUAGGUGGAUUUUGUUACAUUUGAAGGCUUAUAGAGCCUUUCCUCUCCCUCUCACCCUCAUUUUCAUCCUCCUUACACUUCUAGAGAGAGAAGAAGAAGGAGAAGAAGAAGGAGAAGUUGGAGAGCAAGCUUGAGGGAGCUUGGAGCAUCUUCCUCUUUCCCAUUUCUCACUUUUGGAGGCUUAGAGCUUGGACUUGGAGCUUUGUGGUGGAUUAAUCUUCAACCCUAAAGCAUUUUGAGUUUGGUUUGGAUCUCCUGUUGAGGUUAGUUGCUUAUUUCUCCCCUCUAGACCUAUUUUUGGUAGAUUUUGGGAAAUGAAACCCUAGAAAUAAGAUUUAGGGUUUAUUUUGGGAAUUUUUUGAUUUGAGGGUUUGGAGACCUAAUUGAUGGGUUUAGAACCUUCCUCUAGGUUGGGUUGGAAGGGUUCUUGCUCUCUUUGAAAGCUUGGGCAGGGAUUUCAUCACAAGAGGUGAGUAUAUCCUUUAUGCUUAGAUGGUUUAAGAUUGAGCUUUUCGAUGUUCGUUUCGAUUGUGUAACUCUUGUUCCUACAUCUUUAGGGUGCUAGGAGACUAGUGGACACCUCCGUUCGGCGAAACGAAGAGUUUCGAUUUUCGGUGGGUUUGGUUUUAUGAAAACGGGGCGAAAUAGUCCCUGUGUUUUCUAUACUUGUCGUAACGUCAUUUUAAAUGCAAAUCUAUGCUUAAUGAAAUUUAUAUGAAUUUUAGAACACUUAAAAUGAAUAUGUUAUGUAUAAAAAAAUUUGCACUCUAUAUAGUAGAGCAUUCUGGGUAUUGUUACAUGCAUUUGGGUAGUGUUCGCAUUAGUCGUUUGGAAACAUGCUUCAUAUGUUUAAAGUGGCUCAAUUAUGCAUUUAUGAACAUUUGGGUUAAACUUAGACUUAAUAAAUGAAAGUGUCAUAAAGGGGCACUUAGACUAGCACACUAUGAGACUAUUGUUUUGAGACUUAGAGAUAGGCCAUGGACAUCUACUACUUUCCAUGUUUUAGACAUGAUGACAUCAAGAUAGGCCUAUGAGAGAGUUGUGACAUAUUCUAUGUUGUUAGACAUGAGGACUUAGUACUUGAGACGGAUCUUUCGUUAUUUGCCAUUGUGCUCAUUCGCACAUGCUUAUGAGGGUCGCUCCCUACAAGCCGGCACUCCGUAGAUGGCCAUCGCGAUACAUAUUCGCCGUGCGGGAUUGGGCGCCGAAGUGAAUUGCCGUAGGAAAGGCUCAUUCCUAGAGUGGGGAUGUUGACUACCACGGGGCCAUUAGGCUCAGCACCGGCUAGACAGCCUAUGGGUGGGUCUCAGGACCAGACAGCCUUCGGGCGGGUCUCUUCAGAUUUGAUUUUGAGCAUUCAUCAUGCCAUGUGGAUAUUGAUUAGAAUAGUAAACAAUAACAUCUUUACUAUUUGACUUAUGGACAUCAUACUAGCGAUGCUUGGGUACAUUCAUACAAGAAUAGCUUUUCUUACUUAGGCUAAAUCAUGCCAAGUAGAGAUAUCUUGUGGUAGUAAAUAUUCAUGCUUAUUUAUUUGUCGGACAUAUCGUAUUUGUUUACAUCUACUUACCGACCCCUUUUUAGUUUGGGCCUAGUGGUGCAUUUCACUGAAGCCAGUAAUUGCCCACUGGGAACUAUUAUUCAAUAGUUCUCACGCCCCCCUGUUUUAUGGUUUUAUUUCAGAGCCUUCGGCACCGGUGGAGGCACGGGAUCGCGGCAAGGGAGUCGCAUAGCUAGAUAGCGGAGCUUGCUGUUGCUCCUAGGUGGUCACUCUCUCCUUUUUAGGUCUUGUGAGAGAAAGAGUUUUGAGUACCAUGUAUAGAGAGACUACCUAUGUACUUGUUUAGCUUUUGUAUUGGGAUUCCUAUUGUAUUCACUUUAUGUUUUUACUUAGUGGAUUUACUUUUAUAUUCCUCACCCUUAUUGUGGCUUGUAGAUAUACCUUGCUGUGAUGCUUCUAGAUGUUCUUUUUAUUGUCUUACUUAUCAUUUUGUUUUAAACGCCUUGUAUGUUUUAGACAUACGGCGGGUCUGAGUACGCACCGGGCGGGCUUCCGCUGGGUCCUGGGGCGUGACAUACACGCAAUGUAGGAGGAGUAGCUCAAGCAUGAGCAAUCUUGCCGCCACGGUGUCGAGCUCCACUUCGGGUGUCUCCGCCAAGCCUGUGGCCUCGUCAUUGCCCUCUCCUCUUCCUCUUCCACCACUGCUGUCACUGCCACUGCCGUGUUGGAAGAGGUGGCGGCGCCCUUCGAUUUACGGCACAUCAACCUCUUCGAUGGUCUAGGAUUUCGCCUUCUUUGCCGCCUAAGAUGAGGGCAAGAGGCCGCUGAGAGGUAAGAAGGGGGCGGAUAGGGACUCCAGGAACCUUAAAAGGCCGCAGAUGGAGGAAAUAUAAUACUACCGAAUAAAGAAGCUGUAUUAUUUUGUUAUCAACGUGAGGUAUUAUAUUUUAAAACAAUGUAUAUAAUGCUACGAUAUCAUAGAUAAUUUUAUAUUGGGAUCUUUCAAAGUUGCAAGUAGCUGCGACGAGAUCGAGCAUUCAAAUUCGUUUAAUAAAAAAUAGUAAAUCUCUUUGUGCACAUUUUGUAUUUUAUAAUUUUUUAAAAAUUUUUAGUCAUUAUAUCGCGCGAAUCCCUACACAAAUAGAAAACUAUUAUAACCAAACAGUUUAGCACAGUUUAGCAAGAAUACCUUGGUAAAGUUCUACGUGAUACGACUUUUAAACUUUAAAAAUUAUAAAUUUUUUAAUUAAAGAGGCUUACUCUCGCUUUUACCUUUUCCGUCUUUUUCUUCCUUCGUGCCCACUCUUCCUCUUCUCCUUGCCAAAUUCUUAAAACCCCCUUCUUAGAAGCCCUUUACCCUAAAUCCUAACGCCAUUGAAUGCGAAAGCCCUACUCCAACCCCCCGAAAACCCUUGUAAUCUAAUCCCAAAAAUCCUAAGCCCCCUGAUGGAAGAGGGCGACAACAGCACCGCCGCCAACGUCGCCCGCGCCAUCGCCGCGGCCCUCGACUGGAGCUCGCCUCCCGAUGCCCGAAAAGCCGCCGUCGCCUACUUGGAAUCGGUAGGUUUUUCGCAGCGAUGUUGCGAUUAUUAGAUGUUUUGGUUGGCCUUUUGUGAAUCGGAGAUGUGCAUUAUUUGAUUUUGGUUGCUUGGUUGUGAGAAAGUUAGGUUUUUUGGUUGGUCCCAAUGCAUGUUGUUGGAACAGUUUGGGGAUUUGUUGGUGUUUUUUGAAUUGUUCCGAGUUGCAUUAUGCAGAUUAGUUUAUGCGAACUAGUAAUGUUGAUGAAACGCAGAUGAAAUACCGAAAUGCAUGAUGAAUGACAGUGUGAAGCCUCUUAUAUUCUUACUACUUGGAAUAUGGAGUAACAAAAUUAGAGUUGUAAUAGCAAAGCUACUUUUUUGGUGUAAUGGUUGAAAUGGUAUUGUAAGCAAGAGCUGCGAAAUGAAGCUAUUGUAGGAAGAGUAAAAUGGGAAGGAGGGACAUCGCUCAUGUGUGCUCGAUAGAGUUCUUCUUUGAUCGAACUGUCACAAUGCUUCAGAAGCUCUUUUUAAAGAAAUGAUUUUGAUAUUUCUAUUAAAUAAAAAAAAUCCUCUAUCUAGGGCAUGUUGGUAGCACCGAUGGAGAGAGAGUAGUUCUCUAAUUUUGGAAAUACACUUAUUGGUUUCUGAUAGCAAUACAACUUAGCUUGGAUACUAAGGCCUGAUUUGGUAUUCCGUUGACAAAAGCACCCGCUUUAAUGCUGUAGAAGGCCAAAAAAUCCAAAAGUGCUUCCAAACUUAUUAGCUUUUAUGACCCCUGAAAGAUUUGGAAACAUUAAAAACAUAACUCACAAGAGACAACUAGAAUGUGUUAUCAAGUUGUGAUAAUGGCAUUCCUAACAUGAGAACUAGAGUUAUUGUGUCAACCCCAAUAUAUAGAUGUUCUAAGAUAGGGUUCAUAUGUUGUAGAAUUUAGAGUAUAAAAGUGGACUUUUUUGCUUUAAUCGGUAUUUCUAAGAAUUUGACAUCAAUAUGACAAAAACAGUGCACUUUUCUCCAUCUCUCUGGCAAAUGGUAGUAAAAGUGACCUUAUAAUUCAAAAUUUUCCAUGAACCAAUGCGAGUUUGGUCCUCUAUGUUUAUGUUUAUUUAUAAAUCAUUUUUCUCAUAAAGGAAAAUAGACUUAUUGAAUUUGUUCAGAUUUUAAUAGUUACAGUGCAACUCAAUAUUACAUUUUUGAAUGUUAUAAAGAACCUGAAUAUAUUGAAUUGUUUUCCUUGAUUUUGAAGAACAUGUUUCUAGUGCAAAUAUUAUUCUUUAUAGAAACCCAUGGUAACACUUGCUAGAUGUGGAUGAUUUUUUGCACUCUAUUUUUGCUGCUGACUUGCUAUUCUGUUUACUAUGGUACCCUAAACUAUAAACCCUAAACCUCAAGAACCUAAACCCAUGUUAAUGGUUAUUUUUCAAUUUUGUCUCAUGCAUUUGGUAGUAAAGAUACUAUAGUUGUAUUAAGUUUAUUUUAUUCCAGGUGAUGCUGGUUAGUGGGCUAUAACACAACUACCAAUCUAGCCAAUGGCUUGAUAAAGAAGAAUACCUCAACUACACUGUUUCUGGAUACCAUUGAUUGUUAUACUGUUUUUAUUUUUCUUUUCCCGAGUACUUUAUUUAUGUGUACUACUGCUUUUUGGAUGCUUGAAAUCUUUGCUUAAUGCUAAAAGUGCUGAUAGCUACUCACUCUUUCAUGAUAAUGUAAAUUCUUCAUCUAUUCAUGAUAUUGUUUUAUUACCUUGCUCCUCCGCUUAGUCUACUCUGGACUAUAAGUAGUUCCCAUUCUAAUGUCAUCAUUCUCCCUACCUGUAUAGGAAUAGAAUGCUGUGUCCGUUUUCAUAUUUUAAAACUUCCAAAAACUUAACAAACUUUUUAUCUGCUGGGAGAGUCCCCAAAAUCCAAUUUCUGUUCAGUUAAUUGACUAGUUUUGAUUCUCUGGUAGAUCAAUAAAAUGGAAAGCUUAUAGAUGAGUUUCAAACAAAUACUUCCGGCUACUACAUAACAGAUAGUAGGUGCUUGCUACUUUCAUUUGCCGCAGGCUAAAUCCUAUGUUAAGUUUGUUUAAUCAGGUAUUAUGGCUUACUGCCUGAAGGUAGCUACAUUUAUCUCUGGUGAUAAAGUCCAUGUGUUCUCAUUAAUUGUGUUUGCAAUUAUUAUUAACAACAUAAGCACUUUUGGACUAUAAAUUUUCAAUGUUUAUAGUAAUUGGUAUCUUCUUAAUUUGUAUGUGCAGGUUAAGAAUGGAGAUGUCCGUGUUUUGGCAAAUACAUCCCUUCUUUUGGUUCGGAAGGAUUGGUCAUCUGAGAUUCGACUCCAUGGGUUCAAAAUGCUACAGGUUCACUCUCAUCUGCACCAUUUUUUUUUGUUUAUUUAUAAGUUAUAAUCUGAACUUCUUUAACAUAAAUCAGUCAUUAUUUCUGGAAGGAAAUAAAGAACACAAAGUUUCUUCCUAGAAGAACACUGCUCUUACUAAAUAAUUGCUUAAUGAAUUUCCUCGUGACGCCUAAUUUCAACAGUGGUUUCAAUUGAUGAUCAGACUACUUUGCAUUUCCUUGUUGUCUUUGCUUGAAAUUUGUCUUGUCUCUAAGGUGAUUCAAACAGAAGUUCCAUGUGAUACUGUCGUGGAAAUUGGAAUUUUUGAGUUUCACUUCAACAAGCCAUUAGGUGGAUGUUUUCCGGCCAUUACUUUGUUGUGCAAGCCGAUUGUGUUUUAACAUAUGCUUUUUUAUUAGGAACACAAUGGGUUUUUUGAGUUUGAAGGCAGCUAACUCUAGUUUGCCUCCAAACUCCUAUAUUUGACCUAAUUUUGAACUGGUUGGCAAGAUUCUUGCAUGGUUGUAAUUGUGUGCUGGGAGCACUAGAUUCUUUUGAUGGAAAGAUGGGCUGGAGAAAUGAGUUGAGGCGGCUGCAUAUAUGUGUGAAUGAUGCAAGUAUUGUCACAUGCAAUUUCUGUUUUGUCAUAAUUGAUUUUGUUUGUUGAUAUGACCAACCUGAAAUAGUUACCUUGAUAAGGAUUCGAGUUGGCAGUGGACAUAUUUGUUAAUUCAAUUCAUUAGCUCUUCUAUUAUUUUUGACUUUUGAUGCCAGGGUGUCAGGGGCGUUGGGCAAAACCCAAUCCUUCACCCAAACAUCAUGUUUUCAACAUUCUGGCAUAUAUUGCAUUGUUGCCAGGGGUCUUCUCUUAAUAAUAUCGGGGUCAUAUUAAACACAACUCAGUGAUAAGAAGCCUUUAGAAAAAGAGUAAGUUUUCUUCCUAAUGAUUGUCAAUUUGAUAUGAUUCACCAGAAGUUGGUGCCGUGUCCUUUUCGUAACUAAAGUCAAACAAUAUAAGAAAUUUUCAUUAAUUCUGGUUGGUUGGUAAAGUAAUAUACCUUCUUGGUGGCAACUUAGAGCGCGUUUGGUUCGCGUUAUCUGUAUUGGGUUACUGAAAAUCUUAUACAAGUUGCAACUGUUAGGUAAUGUUGGUUAGUAAUCUGGUCAGGAACUUCUUAUUCCGAAAGAAAAAAUCCUAUUAACAAGUAGGGGGAUGGGUAUCUCUUAUUCCUGAGUUUGUGAAACCUGAAUACAGGCACCGUUUGGAUUAGGGAUAAGGGGAGGGAUAACCCCUUACCCCCCCCUUUUUACCCAAACGCAAAUUUUUUACCCGAAAAUAGUAGUUCUCGGGUACCUAAAAUAAGCUGGUAUAACUAUCCUCACCAACACCUCCAUUUUCUAUAUAUAACUAUCCACUGUUUUUCUUAUUCCAUAUUAUCUAUCCAAACGCUAUUUUUCUUAUCCCCUUACUUGUACCUAUCCCUGUAAUAGCUAGUUCUUGCUUAUACCCCAACCAAACGAAGCCGUCCAAACUAUCCUCAUUUCCAAUUCAAAUCAUAAAUUCACAUUUAAAUUUAUUUUUAAAUUCAAAUUUGAAAUUUAAAAUUUACAUUUUGAAUUCAAUUUUAAUUCAAAAUUUGAUUUUGAAUUCAAAUUUCAAAUUCAAAUUUAGAUUUUUGAAUUCAAAUUUCAAAUUCAAAAAUUGAUUUUGGAUUCAAAAUUUGAAUUAAAAAUUUGGUUUUUGAUUCAAAUUUCAACUUCAAGUUUAGAUUUUGAAUUCAAAUUCAAAUUCAAAUUUAGAUUUGACUUCAAUUUCAAAUUCAAAUUUAGAUUUUGAAUUCGGAUUUCAAUUGUUUUCAUAGUUUGAUUUCAAAUUUUAAAUUGUAAAUCUGAAUUUGAAUUCGGGUUUCAAAUUCAAAUUUAGAUUUGAAGUCAAAUUUAAAAUUCCAAUGCAAAAUUUGAAUACGAAUUUAAAAUUCAAAUCCAGAUUAUGAAAUUGAUUUCAAAUUUAAAUUAAAUUAAUUUUCAAAUUCAAAUUCAAAAUUUGAAUUUCAAAUUCAUAUUAUGAAUUUGAUUUCAAUUUAAUUCAAAUUUUAAAUUCAAGUUUUAAAUUCAAAUCCAAAUUUUAAAUUCAAAUUUCAAAAUUUGAAAUUUAAAUUCAGAUUUUGAAUUGAAAAUUUUAAAUUUCAAAUUCCAAAUCAGAUUUCAUAUUAUGAAAUUGAUUUCAAAUUUAAAUUAAAUUAAUUUUGAAAUUCAAAUUCGAAACUUGAAUUCGAAUUUGAAAUUCAAAUUCAUAUUAUGAAUUUGAUUUCAAUUUAAAUUCAAAUUUUUAAUUCAAAUUUUAAAUUCAAGUUUCGAAUUCAAAUCCAAAAUUUAAAUUCAAAUUUCAAAAUUUGAAAUUUAAAUUCAGAUUUUUUGAAUUAAAAAUUUUAAAUUUCAAAUUCCAACUCAAAUUAUGGAUUUAAAUUUGAAAAUAAAAUCCGAUUUGGAAUUCAAAUUUUAAGUUCAAUGGUAUAUAUGUAAGUGAAUGAAAUUUUUAAGUAUAGGAGUAAUUUUACAAAACCAUGUAAAUAACUGUUGACAUUGCUGAAGUUUAUUGUUAAACCAAAUAUAGUAAUUUUAUAAUCCUAGUAAUCUUUGAUGAGAUAAUUGUGCGGACGAAAUGUAGGAAGUAUACAAUUCGCUGUAAUCUCGUUACUACGAAUGAAAUUCUCAUUAAUAUAACACAAUAAUCAAAAAAAUAUCAUAUAUAUAUAUAUAUAUAUAUAUAUAGAACUAGGCUAAUAUACUAUUAAUAGCACCAAUUCAUUAGUGCUACCAAGUUUUUGGCCAUUGGAUUAAGAGAUGUGCGGUUAGGAUGAUGUGGGCCCCUAGGGUUGAGUGGGUUGUUGGUUGAAUAGUAUGAUCUAACGGAUAAAAAUAAUCGAAGGGGUUAAUCCAAUGACAGAAAACUUAAUAGCACCAAGUGUUGGUACUAUUGAUAGCAUAGCAGCCAGACUCUAUAUAUAUAUAUAUAUAUAUAUAUCACUUUUAAUCAAUUAAUUGACUCCGAAUAUGAAACACAACAAAGGUUUGAAUUUGCAAAUUUAACAAAGAUGGUGGAAGACCAAAAGGUAAAGAAAAGGAGUAAAAAAAAACUUUUUAGGCCUUAGUAAAUCUAAAGAAAAUGAGAAAAAGUAAAAAAAAAAAAAAGUAGCUCCCACUUCUCCUCAAAUUAAGGGCGUGGGUACAUAUAGGAUUUAGUCAUGGGGAUUAAUGUAUAGGUAUAGAUAACCAUUUAAAUGUUCUGUUGUUAGCCCUCCGUUGUCCCGAAUUAGCAUGAUUUAAUUGGCACUCAGCUUUUCAGUCCUCAUGCUUAGUCCACUAGUGCUUAAUUUCUUUUUUUUUUUUGUUUUGCUUUCGAUGUUUGUUGUUACAACACUUACUCCAUCCUAAUAAUGAUUUGCUCAUAUAGACAAACAAGAGAUAAGAUGAAACAGAUAAAUAAAAAAAAUAAAUAGGGAGCAUCUAAAAGGUAAGACUAAAUUAUGGCAUCAAAGUAAACAAAAGAGUAUAAGAAAAUAGGUAAAUAAAAAGUAUAUCAAGAUGAUAAGUACAUCAAAGUAAAUGCAUACAUCGAUGAGCAUUGANAGAUGAAACAGAUAAAUAAAAAAAAUAAAUAGGGAGCAUCUAAAAGGUAAGACUAAAUUAUGGCAUCAAAGUAAACAAAAGAGUAUAAGAAAAUAGGUAAAUAAAAAGUAUAUCAAGAUGAUAAGUACAUCAAAGUAAAUGCAUACAUCGAUGAGCAUUGAUGAGUACUAGACCAAUUCAUUAAUAAUAAAUUAAUUAGAUAAUAUAGUAUAAAUAAAUUAAUAAUAAUUAUAAAUAAUAAAUUAUUAAUAAUUAUAAAUAAUAAAUUAACUAAUUAAUAAUAAAAUAAAUAAUAAGGCUCUGUGGUAUAAGAUCAAUAAAAGGCGUCGGGUCCAAACAGUCUUAGCAAGCGUGUAUGCCACAGAGCGAUACUUCGCUUUAGAACUAGAGGGAGAGACAGUAGGUUGCUUCUUGGCCGACCACGAGAUAAGAUUAGGUUCAAGAAAAAUACAAUAUCCAGAGCUAGACCGGCGUGUAUCUGGGCAACUAGCCUAAUUAGCGUCAGAGAAGGCAAUGAGCGAGGGAUUAUCAUAGCGAGAGAUAUGAAUACCAUAUGAUAGUGUCCCACAAACAUAUGAUAGCGUCCCGUGAACAUAACGAAAGAGAUGUUUGACAGCUUGCAUGUAAGGCUCGUGAAGUGCAUGAAGAUACGGAGCAACGAUAUUGAUAGCAUAGGAGAUAUCUGGCCGUGUGAAAGUAAGAUAUUGCAACGCACCAACCAUCUGACGAUAGAUGUAGGGAUCAUCAAGAGCGUGCCCUUCAUGAGACGAAAAGCGAGUGCGGUAGGAAAAAGAGUAGUAGAAACCGGCUUACUAGCAAGAAACCAUGACACUCAAGGAGCUGGUGCGCAUAUUUCUGUUGAGUCAGAUAAAGACCAGAAGAAGAGUACGUGACUUCAACACCCAAAAAAAUAAUGUAAAGGACCUAAAUCCUUUAUCGCAAACUCUUGCUGUAGAGAACGAAUAAGAGACGCAAUAAGAGAAAAAGAACUCCCAGUAACAAUAAUAUCAUCAAUAUAUAGGAGGAGAAUAAGAGUCCCAGAGGGUGAGUGGCAAGUGAACAUCGAGGGAUCUACAGUGCUGCCUACAAAAUCAAUCUUUGAAAGGAAGGCGGUAAACCGCUGAAACGAAGUCCAAGGUGCUUGCUUGAGUCCAUAAAUUACCUUCUUCAGUCGACAUACAUGAUUAGGAAAUGAUGGAUGUAUAAAAGGCAUGCGGUCAUUUCGUAUAAACUCUCUCAAAGAGAGCCAUGAAGAAAUGUAUUCUUCACAUCAAGUUGUCGAAGUGUCCACCUAGAAGAGAAAGCAAUCGAAAGAACAAUAUGAAUAGUAGUUGGCUUAAUAACCGGAGGAAAUGUCUCAUCAAAGUCAACACCUUGUUGCUGCUUAUAGCCCUAAGCUACCAGCUGAGCUUUGAGACGCUCAAGAGAACCAUCCGCUUUCUGUUUGACCUUGUAUACCCACUUGUAGCCAACAAGAUUUAUUGAUGAUGGCGGAGGAACAGGAUCCCAAAUAAAAUUUCUAAUAAGGCAUUAUACUCGGUCAUAGCUGUACACCAACUUGCAUCUUGAGAGGCCUUAGCAAAAGUAGGCUUAGUAGGAAAUAAAGACCGUGUAGAAGCCAAAAGUGAGGUAGCCUGAGUCAAAUUUUGUGUCAUGGACCAUGUGAGCAUAGGUUGUGAGCAAGAAGGGAUUGGUGGAGCUACAGUUGAAGUAGGUAAUGUAGAUGACGAUGCGGGUUGCUCAGUAGCUGUAUGGGUGGAGGUGGAAGGAUCAUAUGGUGGUGGAGCAAGGUUGGUGGGUGCACUAGUUCUAGAGAGGUGAUGUUGGGUAUAAACGCGGAGCUCUUUGUGACCAAGAGUAGAGGUAUCAUUCUCAUCUUUAAUCUAUGCAUUAUCAGAGUCCAAGUUGGUAGGAAAUUGAGGUAGAUUUCCAGAUGGUGGUGAAACAGACUGGAUAAGAUGAUUGGUGCCAGAAACACUAGAACACACAAAACUGAAGCCAGAGAUAGCUUUAAGGAGAGAUGAACUCUCACCUAGUAAGGGAGGAUUAGAGAGAGUUUCGAAACAGUUGAAAGUUUGAAUUCACAGAUACUGAAGAAUUAGAAAAUUUGGAAAGAUAGGAAAAAGGCAAAACUGUUUCAAUAAAGGUAACAUGCCAAUAAAUGAAGAUCUUACUAGUACUUGGAUAGAGACAGCGAAAAUCUUUAUGCUUAUCAGACAAUCCCAACUCCCAAGUACACACAAAGAAGGGAUCGGAGAGAAAGCUUAUGAUCAGCAACAUCCUGCAAUUGAGAUAACAUAAAUACCCAAACACCUUAACAAGUUGCAAGUUAGAGGGGACACGACCAUACAAGAUAUCAUAGGGCGAUUUUCCUUUUAAAACAGUAAAAGGAGUGCGGUUGUCACGCCCCGAGAUCGCUACCAAUUUGGUCCGGUUCGAGCGCGUCAAACAGACGUCGAACGGACAGCACCUCCCCUGUCCGCCCAAGGCUAAACCACCAGAUCAUGUACAAGAAUUUGCCCAGGAGAAGAAAUUUGAUACAUACAUGAUCGACUAGAAGCACACAAGUGCGAUACAACUAAGAGCAAGAACCACAAGUAUAUGUACAAGUGUAUAAAGAGAGAUACAUCUAACUAUUACAACCAUUCAACGUUUACAUAAUUGAUUACAUUACAUUUCCAUCUUCCAAAAUGUAAUACAUGGUCAUCUCCAAAAUACAUGGGUAGCCCUCCAACAACGAUCAAAAUAUACAUAUAGUACACGAGGGUACUCUAUAUGCAUGUAGGAAAGCUACUAACUAACUCAGGGCGCUAUGCCCUUGCCGCGGUCCUCGCCCGGAGCACUGGUACUCGGCCCUGCAACAGAGUAGGGUGAGAACUAUAUAAAUACAGUUCCCAGUGGGUUUGACCGCCGACUCCGCCGAUCUUCCCACUAGGUCUAAGCAGGCAUAAGCAGAUAGAUAGAUAGGUAGAAAUGUAAACUGCAACUAUUCUACCAUGCCUUCAAUGCGAUGCCAUGUAUGAAAUAAUCAUCAUGCAAUAGUAUACUAUCAUGCUAGUAUGAUGUUAAGAGUAUGUAUAUGUAACAUAGCAAUGCAAUCUACAACAUACAUUAUGUCUACUCAAGGUAAGAAUGCAAUUCUACUAUGCCAUUCAUGUUCAUUACCCAAUUUACCUGGCUAACCCGUAGGUUAAGCCCUCGACUCACUCUCAAUCUCAUAGGUGAGAAGAAGCUGCACUCGCACACCGAGACCGUCUGCAGGACAACUACGUCUGCCCCUGUGUGAAGUACUCCGGAGACCACUGCUUCGGUGGAGCGACCACCGACAAGCGAAACAGACUGGUGAGUAUGAUCCAAUCCUCAC